AUAAAACCCUCAGACACAAACUAGAUGAAGAAAGGAAUUCACUGGUGCACAUAACUGAAAAAUCCAGGGGUUCCAUGCCUAACAUGGAGCCCAGUGUGGACCCCAGUGUGGAACCCAAUGUGGGGCUUGGACCCAUAUACCAAGGUCAAGACCUGAACGGAGAUCAAGAGUCGGAUGCUUAACCAGCUGAGCCACCCAGGGCUGUUGUUUGGAAGGUGGUUGGCUGAAAUCCUCAACUAAAACCCUAAAUGGUGGAUUUUCCUAUGCUGUCAAUACCGAAGAAGUUGGGACUAGAACACUCCCAGCUCUUACGUCCUACACUUUUUUAUGAGCUUUAUGCCUUUUUUGCUUUUGCCCCUGUUAUGUAGCUACCACAUGAUAUUGUCCCCCAGACCCUUUUCUCCUCUGGUUACUUCUUGAAGUCACUGUUAAACCUUUAACAGUGAGGCACUUAGGAAGAAAGAGAAACUUUCAAAGUGGGAGAAUGGGAGCAGUUCAUUCACUGUUCAAUAAAUACUUGUAGAUUUCUUACCAUGUGUUGGACUAACCACCAAGAGACAGACUAACCAAAUUAUCAUAAGCAUGACUAUAAAGACCCGUGCUAGGAAGUUUCCCUAUAACAGAGGACUGAAGACCUGACCGAAGAGUCCCAACAAGCUUCUCUCAGGAAGAACCAAUACCUGAGCUGAGAUCUGAGGAGGAACAAGGGUUGCAAAGUGAAAGAAGGUAGGGGGGCAAAAUCAUUCCAGGAAGAACAACAAACAUUCCCAGGGGGCCUGUAGCAGGAGGAAGCUCAGUGUGUUCAGGAGCUGGGUGGCAAGCGGAUACAUCCCCCAAGGUAGUUAGGAGAAAACAGACAGAACCGGGUAAUGAUUUGGAUAACUGGAGAUAGUUCUCUCUCUUGCUACGCUCUUCCUCCCUCUUUUUUUCCUAGCAGAGAAUACUUUAGCCAGGCAUUGUUUUAGCACUUUAUAUGUAUUAACUCAACAAUAGCCAAGUGAGUAUGUGGUAGAAUACAUGAACUCAUGACCCUACUGGAAAACCUCCUCUUAGACCUUUUCUGCCCCUCCAUACACUGAGCUAUCCUUAAGAUAGCAGACAGUUUUUGUAGGGGCAAGCCCAGGAUUAUUUGAGAAAAGAAACAAACAAGCAAAAAAGAUAAGGGUAUAUAAAUACGUUUUGCUCAUGCUGAGUCCCAAGGCAUGGGACUUAAGGAGAAAACUACUGAAAACCACAACCCAUUCAUGUGUUAUUUAUUUAAUGGUGAUGUAUAAUAUUUAUUGAGUGCAUAUUGUGCCAAGUACUGUUCUGAAUACUCCCAAAUAUUAGUUUAUUUAAUCUUCACACCUACGUCAUUUUUAUGGCUAUUUUACAAAUUAGAAAACCAAGAGAGAUCUCCAAAGAUGUACAGUUUUCAGCAUUGAUGGGAAGUGGGCACGGAUCCCACCACCGGGUAGUCUGUCUUCCAAGUACUAGGCAUCACUUGCUCAUUUGCAUGACUGUCAAAGCCUGCUACCUCCUAAAAUCAUUCUCUUCCUUC